AGGAGUAGUCUGGGAUAGAAACUCAAACUGGCUACUGCCCACGAGGAUGAGAGGGUAAUCCAAGAUGGACCAGAAAUUCAGGAUCUUCACGGUUAACGUGGUGGCAGUCAGAAAGAAAUGCAAUAGAACUAAUUUAAGUUCUAGAUCAUGAUAGCCUGUGAUAUGGUUAUGAUCUGCUAUUGUUCGUGAUUUCCUGUACCAUCAUAUGACACAAUGAAGAGAUGACCAUGUGCAAACCACAUAGAGUACCCUUACCAGACACUAGAGCUGGCAGAAAUUUGAUCUUGGACUUCCCAGUCUCCAGAACUGUGAGAAAUAAAUGUUUGUUGUUUAUGAAACUUAGUCUAUGGUAUUCUGUUAUAUAGCAGCUUGAGCUGACUAAUGUGAUAUUAUUAAGUCAAGAAAAACAAUUGGAUAAUUUAUCAAGAUUAUUUUAUGGCAGACAAUUUAUUUCAACAUUACUUAAAAGCAUUGAAACUUUUCUAUGCUGAGAAUUACAGUGCUGCUGGUGAAAGUGGUGCUAGAGCUUGUGUGUGUGUCUGUGUGUGUGUCUAAUCGCAUUCAGGGAGCAUUUGUUUAGUCUGUUUUAAUGCUAUCAGAGCUAACAUUUGUGUAUGUUUGUUUUCUUUAUCUCAGCUCUGGCAAAUCCAUGAAAAACAGAUGAAAGCCAAAUCUUUCAUUAUUUCUAAAUCCCUGAUUAUGACAUAUUUCUCCUACAACGUGUCCCAAAAGAAUGAGAAAAGCAUCUGUAACUACGCACAGGUUAUGUUGUAGUCCCCUCAGUAGCAUUUUGUCCAUAUGGAGCUUAAUUCUGUAAACUACCUAUAACUAGGUAUAAAAUUCAGACAGAAAAUAGCAAUUUAUCACAAGUGUCCAGCUGGCUUCUUCUUCUAAGUGGUUAUUUCCUAAUCUGCAAUCCAGCCAUUCACUGCCCACUCACAUUUUUGAGCUAUAAAAUCAAUAAUAAAUAGCAAGAACAUUCCCUUGAGAGCUUAGCCAUGCAUUCCAACUGGG
rnacentral:lncRNA from 1 species